rfam:Triticum aestivum genome assembly, contig: Triticum_aestivum_CS42_TGACv1_scaffold_644224_T_5DL-0.338649_4DS-0.175346
CUUGUACUCCCUCCAUCCCAAAAUUCUUGUCUUAGAUUUGUCUAAAUACGGAUGUAUCUAGACAAAUCUAAGACAAGAAUUUUGGGACGGCGGGAGUAGUUU